AUUGAACGCUGGCGGCAGGCCUAACACAUGCAAGUCGAACGCAGUGGGGACGGGUGAGUAACCCGUUGGUAACCUCCCAUCAGAGGGGAUAACACUUGGAAACAGGUGCUAAACCGCAACUGAUGGAUGGACCCGCGGUGCAUUAGCUAGUUGGUGAGGUAACGGCUCACCAAGGCCACGAUGCAUAGCCGACCUGAGAGGGUGUGCGGCCACACUGGGGCUGAGACACGGCCCAGACUCCUACGGGAGGCAGCAGUAGGGAAUCUUAGGCAAUGGACGAAAGUCUGACCGAGCAACGCAGCGUGAGUGAAGAAGGUUUUCGGAUCGGAAAACUCUUUUGUUAGAGAAGCGGUAUCUAACCAGAAAGCCACGGCUAACUACGUGCCAGCAGCCGCGGUAAUAC
rnacentral:rRNA from 1 species